rnacentral:rRNA from 1 species
UUGAGGAAGUAAAAGUCGUAACAAGGUCUCCGUUGGUGAACCAGCGGAGGGAUCAUUGCUGGAACGCGCCCCAGGCGCACCCAGAAACCCUUUGUGAACUUAUACCUUACUGUUGCCUCGGCGCUAGCUGGUCCUCCGGGGCCCCUCACCCCCGGGUGUUGAGACGGCCCGCCGGCGGCCAACCCAACUCUUGUUUUUACACUGAAACUCUGAGCACAAAACAUAAAUGAAUCAAAACUUUCAACAACGGAUCUCUUGGUUCUGGCAUCGAUGAAGAACGCAGCGAAAUGCGAUAAGUAAUGUGAAUUGCAGAAUUCAGUGAAUCAUCGAAUCUUUGAACGCACAUUGCGCCCUCUGGUAUUCCGGAGGGCAUGCCUGUUCGAGCGUCAUUUCAACCCUCAAGCCUGGCUUGGUGAUGGGGCACUGCCUGUAAAAGGGCAGGCCCUGAAAUUCAGUGGCGAGCUCGCCAGGACCCCGAGCGCAGUAGUUAAACCCUCGCUCUGGAAGGCCCUGGCGGUGCCCUGCCGUUAAACCCCCAACUUCUGAAAAUUGACCUCGAUCAGGUAGAAUCCUGC